UUUGGGGGGGGGGGGGGGGGGUCUCGAGAUGAGAGCUUGCCACAAUGGUAGAAUCACAACUCUUGCACAUCAUGAGGAUCUGGUGGAGCAAUCGGUUGGGUAGGAUGCAACAAAUGGGAUGAACAUGAUCUUGGGAUAGGUACAAGCUAGUGGGAUGCUCGACAUAACAAAUUUGAGCAAUGGUGCUCGUGUUGUGGUCCCAACAUCGCUGAUUGACACAAGGUGAUGGCUACAUGAUCCAAUAUCUACAAGGAUCCCGAGUUGACCCACAAGCGGUGAUCUCUUCAUCUGGAUCACAUAUGCUAGAAGUUUGGGUGCUCAAACAUCAUGCCAUUGUGUUGGAACCGUGAACUCCUCCCUUGCCAGAAGCAUGGGUUGUGUCCAAGUAUCGUGCAAGUCGCGCAACAUCCAUGGACAAGGGUGUUUCCACAUCCAAGUUUCAUAUGGCGAUGGCCUACUCUUGAGCCAACACAAUUGCAUGUGAUGUCAUUGGGACAAAAACAUUGACUUGGCAAGGUCACGUGUAGUAUGAUAAUUGAUGGAUUCCACAAUGAUGCCAACAACCAGAGAGGAAGGAGGACAAUGACAUACAAGAGAAAGGAGUCCUCUGCAUGGCGGAUGGAUUAGGAGGGGAGAGGGAGGGUUUGCGGUAGGUGGAGGGGUUUGUGGCGUUCUUUUGGGGAGGAGUAGGCGCUCCGACAGCGCGGUUAUAUUCUUACACUUCUUCCUUUCAUCUUGUUGUGCUCCCCAUUUUGUGUUCCAACGUCAUGUUAGCGUGCCCAAUCCCCGAUUAAAGCGGUCAACCUUAUGCCACAUCGAGCAAAUAUGUUUGUUUGUAUUUGAGUGGGUUCACUUCGAAGAUUUACUUCUAUAAGGCCUAUGAAAAUUCCGGCCUUUUUACAUAGACCCUAACAAUGAAGGGCGUGUCCAAAACAUUGUGUUCUCAGGUGAAUAACUUUGUGUGUGGAUAUAGUGUAGCCAUAUAAGUCACUUCAAACAAAAAGGGUAUAUGAUAGGGGGAUCCCCUAUCCCAGAUGUUAUAUAAUAUCAUGGCAUGAACCUUGAAAAGCAUGCAAGCCAGAUGGUCAAGGUGCCACCUUUAGUGAAAGGUGGACUUUCAUCUUACAAUAUCGUCGAUGAUACAAUUCUCUUUAUGGAACAUACUCUUGAAGAAUAAAAAAUCCUCAAGCUUGUGUUUUGUGCUUUUGAGCAAACUUUUGGUUUUUAAAUUUAAUUUCCAUCACUUCAAGAUUCUACAUCUUAGGAUGAACUUUUCAGAUGCAAGCGUGGUCAGUUUCGUGCAUUUGGAAAUCCUGGUUCAUUACUAGAAAUUCUCAAAUGUAGACUAGAGACAUGUGGAGGAAUGAAUGGAAACUCGACUGAGGAGUUGGAGAAAAAGCUUUUGCCAUCCAUGGGAUGGCUCAUCCUUAGCAACAUGGUCCUUUACAUGAUGCCAUUCUUACAAAUUCUAAAAGGGAUGUAGCUAUUUUCGCCCAAGUUUUCCUGGCAAAGUCAUGAUGAAAAUAAAUCUCAGACAAAGAUCAUGGUGGUCUUGGAAUAAAUACAUUGCUCAAAAGCAAUCUCCUGAGUCCAAUGGACAGUGAGAGGCUCUUAUUUGUAGGCUUCGCCUGACUUGUAGGCUUGGCCUGACGAGAGUCAAGUGUUACUUCUUAUGGUUUGGUGCAGUUAACACGAGUGAUGGCUCAAAUAAUUAGAUUCUAGGAGGAUAAGCGGUUGGAAAAUGCGCCACUAAGCAGUUGGACAAUCCACCACUCUAAGAUUACUAUCCAUCUUAGGUGCUAUUUGCGCAUACAAAUGUGACAUGAUCGAACAAGUUUUGAAUGCCUUACCUCCUAACAUAGCUUUUAGGAGGGACUUGCUUGGCCUGAAAAGACCAAGGUUAGGGCAUAUCAAUGUAUCCCUCGUCUUUUUCAUUUGCGAACAAGGCGGCGAGGGGCUACAACAUUGGGAAGCGUAGGGGUCCGGGAUUGGGCGAAGCGUGCGGGAAGGCACCAACGUGCAACUGACGCGUUGUUGGGCUUUAUGGGCAUGCGGCGCUCCAAUUUACCCACUCCUCCCAUAACUCGAGCUUCAUUUCCCUCUCUUCUCCUUUCGUUUUCUACUAACAUAUUCAUCUCUUUUUCUUUAUCCCCCUCUUUGUGUUAAUAGUAGUUCAUGAGAGCGUUUUCGAGGUAGGAUUCUUUCAUAUUUGAUUGACCCUAUCAUUGUGCAUUUUUAUAAGCGAGAAUCAAUUUCACCAUGUUAAUUCUCUUCAUUUCUUUAUUGUUUUUGUUUUCGUUUGAAGUAAACGUGUACAUCAAAGAAUGAUACUCUACCACCUAGUUCAUGCCUCACUAGUUCUUCUUGUAAAGAAGAAAGAAGGUUCCUGGCACCUAUGCAUUGUAGGCAAUAGUUCUCAUAUGCCAUUUAUGUAACAAUAUAUCUCCAAAUCUUCUUGCCGAUCCUGAUGAAUUGUUUCUUCUUGAGCUGUUGGUACUGAAUCCACUUUCUUUUAUCCCAUGGUAGCCAGCCCUAGCCUUUUGGAAAGGAGAAGGGAGAAGAAUAAUUUCAACCGUGUGAGGAUGGACUCUAGACUCACUCGUUUCGAUUCAUGGACUUGAGCCGAAGUCGAAUCGUCAUGAAAGAACGAAAGAUAUUCGGUAUAACUGCCUUCACCCAAGGUCUAUUAUUCUCAUUCCGGAAGCAUGUAUCCUAGCAAGACCCUUGGUGACACUGAAAUUGCUAAGGUUUGUCAUGCAUGGCUUUAUCUCUCUACGGUGACUUCUUCACGGUUGAGGGCUCCGGAGGCUUCAAGUGGUGCCCUUUCUUCCUACAUGUAGAUUGCUUGGAGUGGUAUUGGGUCAUGUAGCUGUUCUUAAUCACCCUUAUCUUGCCUUGAGUAUUUAUGUUUUGUGGCGUUGAAUUUUAUGAGUUGGAUUGUAUGUUGGUCGGUAUUUUAUCUAUAAAGCGGGGUCCAAACCUUUUUCACAUUUA